GUUUAAUAAAUAGAGGUACGUUAUUGUCAUCCAGAAGAGUAAGAUAAGAAAACUAAGCUGAUGACUCAGACUUUGGCGUAGAACUUACUGUGUGUCCCUUUGCCUUGAUUUUCCCUUGAAUGAGUUCUGGAGAUCUGCUUGAGUGUCAUUUCCAGUUUCGUACUUUGAUUCUAAAUAACAGUGUUGGACAUCAUCGUUUGGAAGUGUGUCUCUUAACAAACAAAAACACCACAUUUGUUAUUCCCCUGUGUUUAGAACUAAAAUUCAAGUAAUGAUGAGCCGGGGGAAAUAUACAUUUUCACCCUUGAUGUCCUAAAAUAAAAACUUAUUAACACAUGACAACUUGAUUGACAGCUGUCUCAGAGGCGACAUUGUAAGGUGGGCUACAUGCAUGUGUUAGAUUGACUAUGUGUUGUAAGUGUGGUGAAAGUCUCUGGUUAGAAGGGAAAGUUUUGCAAAGUGGAUCAUAUAACUCUAGUCGGGAGGGAAGAACUGUGCAAUGAUUCCCCCUUUAACUCUUGAUGGUUAGCCACGAAGUGGACAUACGUGCCGAUUUAUCCCAGGGCAGUCAGCCAAAUCUCUUUGUUUUGUUGAACUGACAAUAGAGACUGUCCUUUGGAUUUAGGAAAAUAGACUGAAAAAAGGAAAAAAAAAGACAUAUAUAUAAAACCAUAUAUAUAUAUUUUUUUUCAUGACACCAGUGGUUAUGACAAUCAUGAUGUUUUGAGCCAAAUCUUAGUGACUGUGUUUUCAGAUAAAAUAUUGAUUCAAUAUGAACAACGUUUUGGUAUUUUUUCUGUACAUUCAGUCACCUGUCCCCUCUGUCCCCUCUGCCACCUGCCCUCACAUCAUCCCCUCUUAACAUCUGGUCACUUCUUACAAGAGUCACAGCCCAGUGCUUUUCCGUUUUCUCUUUUUCAAGAUUUAUAUCUUGUUAUUUGUGAACUGUGAGUUGACUGUCAUUUCUCACCGUAGCUGAUUAAAGAAAGAUAAGUCUGCAAACACCCCGGGUGCUUCAUCUCACAUCAUAACUUUUUGUUUCUCCUCUAAGUACAUGAAAUCAGCCUUACUGUUCUUUAGAAAUUAGGUAAAGAAAAGAAGAAAACAUGAAAGAAGAAUUAACACAGAAAAAAAAUAUUUAUAACAGAAUGAGCAACAAAAUGACGUCCCCUUAUCCGUCCUCUCCCCUUAGAAGGGACUGGGAGAAAAACAGGAGGAAGAACAGAGAGAAUGCCAAAGAUGGUUGCCACUGGCACCAGGAUUGGCAUCAGACCCUCUUUGUUUAGCUCAGGAUGCCUGUGAUUUGUUAGUUGGCAUCCGCAUUGCAGUGUGGAGUGAUGUUACAAUAUAUUGACAAUUUCCAGAUCUAGAAAUGUCAAUAGUCCUCUUGGCUAUUUGCAGAUCACAUGCUUCGUCUCUAAUGGAAGACGAGAUAGAGACGGAUGGAUAAUAAACUUUCAUUGUUGACCAACUUCCCAUUGCUUCUCUUUCUCCCUCCUUCUCUCUUGGUUCAACCCACACGUACCCUUUCUCCUUCCCUGCAACAUCAUCUUUUCUGAAAUGUGGAAAGAGUUACUGAAGCUUUGACACAAACUAUAAUGCUACAUCUGCAUCUGAUAUAGUUUUGGGGAGAUUUUAUAUAUUUUGAAAUCAUUUUUGAUACGUAGUUUAUUAGGUUUUAACAUCACAGGGCAAUAUUUUGUUCAAAGCUCAAAUUCUUUGUUACUCAGUGUCUCCCCUCCAUAUAGCCUGGUUGACCGCAAUUCAGUCCAUUUUAAUCUUUUUUUUUUUCACAUUAGUGAAUGGUUAUAUGAAAUUUAGUUAUUUAUGAAAUUAUCUGCCUUCGUUUUACCUAAAAUUUGGUAACUGAUUUGGGAGUAGCUGUAUUUAAGUCCAUAAAAAAAAAAUCAUCUGAUGCUAUUGAUUCAGAGGGCUGCGCUUCGGCUGUUCCGUUGCUACAAGAACCGCCAUUUUGUUUGUGAAGUGCCAGGCGAGGGGGAAAAAAAAAGGCAGACACUGUGUUUGAUGCCAAUAAUGGUUGCCAGUGGCACCGAGGUUGGCAUCAGACCCUCUUUGUCUAGCUGCUGAAUGCCUUUGAUUCGUUGGUUGGCAUCCGCAUUGCAGUGGGCACACUGGAAAGUUUUUGACAAUCCCUGAAUGAAAGCUUCGUGCUCGUCUGCUGCAGCAAAGCUUGGCUAAUAGAAAACCCUUCCCCUUUUCUUCCCCCAAAGGCUAAAAAAAAAAAAAAAAAAAAAAAAAAAAAGAUUUGGACAGAUUAAGGAAAAAUCUUUCUAAAAUGGGCUCCAUAUUCCCAAAGAUGUUAAAGAUGUCCAAUGAUUCUUGGCCAGGUGGUACCUAUUCCCCAUAUUGUCUUUGUUAUUGCAUUCAUCCAAACAAAGC
rnacentral:lncRNA from 1 species